rnacentral:rRNA from 1 species
UACGUAGGACGCAAGCAUUAUCCGGAAUUACUGGGCGUAAAGAGCGCGCAGGCGGAUCACUAAGUCAGGUAUGAAAGCUCUGGGCUAAACUCGGAGAGGCUACAUGAGACUGGUGAUCUAGAGUGGGGAAGAGGGGCGUAGAAUUCCGCGUGUAGUGGUAAAAUGCGUAGAUAUGCGGAGGAAUACCAGUGGCGAAGGCGACGCUCUGGUCCCCAACUGACGCUGAGGCGCGAAAGCAUGGGGAGUGAACGGG